CAGCCAUCGCCGCUGGGAAAUGGGGGUGUAGAGGUUCUUCUCUGGGCAGUUCUCCCAACUUUUGUUUACAUUUGAACUUUUCCAUGUUCAGUCUUUGGAAAGGUGACAGUGGACACACUACCACUACCACCAAUAGCCAUGCAAAAACAAAGACACUGAAUUCAGUCCACCGGGCUGGAAGCUUGGGUAUCUGACACUCACUAGCUGUGUGAGUUAGGCAUGUUAAUUGAUAUCUCUGUGCCUCAGUUUCAUUAAUUGCAAAAUGGGACUGAUGAUAAUCAGACUGGUUUUAUAGGGUUGUUUUGAGGAUUAACCGAGAUUAUGGAGGUACAGUUAGCACGGUGUGGGCCACAGCAAGUGCUCAGUGAUGACCAUCCUUAUUGUUAGGCAUCCAUAGCUGUGGUUAAAAUUUGCCUAAAGAAAAAGCAACUUCGGCCAAUGCAGACAAACCAUUGGUUGAUUCAGGUGAGCUCCAGGAUCUGACGGGUGAGUCCUUGAAGACAGCCCUGAAGCACCACAUGGCCUUGCGUGAGGGUAUCUCCCACGGGAGACACGACUCAGCCAGGCUUUCCUGAAACCCCCUGGGAGGGGCCCUCCCCGGGCCAGCUGUGUCCUUUCCUCCACUGCUCUGCUGAUUCUGGGCCUUCCCCAUCACACAAGCCCAGCUUACAUCCUGCCUUGGUUUUUCUCUGAGUUUUAGCAGCUCGCUCAAACUCCACAGCAAGCCUCAGCCCUAGAUGAGACUGUAAAAGCCAUCUGACCCCACCGUGCCGUCACAGCUUCACUCCACAAACACCUCCCUGACGCCCCGUUGGCUGCUGAGCAUGGAGGGGUGAGCAGGGCGGGCACAGCAGGUGGACAAGAGGUUGAGCUCAGAGCUGGCACAUAAACUCCGGAGCAUGGCCAGACAGAGCAUGGGCAAGGUGGUUAGGAGCCCUGAACCUAAGCACAGCCUCGGCCACUCUUGGGCUGUGUGACCUGCUGUGUCCUUCAGCUGCCAGCUGGCCACCUU
rnacentral:lncRNA from 1 species